AUUGAACGCUGGCGGCAGGCCUAACACAUGCAAGUCGAACGGUAACAGGAAGAAGCUUGCUUCUUUGCUGACGAGUGGCGGACGGGUGAGUAAUGUCUGGGAAACUGCCUGAUGGAGGGGGAUAACUACUGGAAACGGUAGCUAAUACCGCAUAACGUCGCAAGACCAAAGAGGGGGACCUUCGGGCCUCUUGCCAUCGGAUGUGCCCAGAUGGGAUUAGCUUGUUGGUGGGGUAACGGCUCACCAAGGCGACGAUCCCUAGCUGGUCUGAGAGGAUGACCAGCCACACUGGAACUGAGACACGGUCCAGACUCCUACGGGAGGCAGCAGUGGGGAAUAUUGCACAAUGGGCGCAAGCCUGAUGCAGCCAUGCCGCGUGUAUGAAGAAGGCCUUCGGGUUGUAAAGUACUUUCAGCGGGGAGGAAGGGAGUAAAGUUAAUACCUUUGCUCAUUGACGUUACCCGCAGAAGAAGCACCGGCUAACUCCGUGCCAGCAGCCGCGGUAAUACGGAGGGUGCAAGCGUUAAUCGGAAUUACUGGGCGUAAAGCGCACGCAGGCGGUUUGUUAAGUCAGAUGUGAAAUCCCCGGGCUCAACCUGGGAACUGCAUCUGAUACUGGCAAGCUUGAGUCUCGUAGAGGGGGGUAGAAUUCCAGGUGUAGCGGUGAAAUGCGUAGAGAUCUGGAGGAAUACCGGUGGCGAAGGCGGCCCCCUGGACGAAGACUGACGCUCAGGUGCGAAAGCG
rnacentral:rRNA from 1 species